GGAAGGAUGGCAGAGUGGUCUAAUGCGGCGGUCUUGAAAACCGCUGAGCCGGAAACGGUUCCGGGGGUUCGAAUCCCUCUCCUUCCGCCA
rnacentral:tRNA from 1 species